rnacentral:rRNA from 1 species
UACGUAGGGUGCGAGCGUUAAUCGGAAUUACUGGGCGUAAAGCGUGCGCAGGCGGUGAUGUAAGACAGGUGUGAAAUCCCCGGGCUUAACCUGGGAACUGCAUUUGUGACUGCAUCGCUGGAGUGCGGCAGAGGGGGAUGGAAUUCCGCGUGUAGCAGUGAAAUGCGUAGAUAUGCGGAGGAACACCGAUGGCGAAGGCAAUCCCCUGGGCCUGCACUGACGCUCAUGCACGAAAGCGUGGGAGCG